rnacentral:rRNA from 1 species
UACGAAGGGGGCUAGCGUUGCUCGGAAUCACUGGGCGUAAAGGGCGCGUAGGCGGACUCUUAAGUCAGGGGUGAAAGCCUGAGGCUCAACCUCAGAACUGCCUUUGAUACUGAGAGUCUCGAGACCGGUAGAGGUAAGUGGAACUGCGAGUGUAGAGGUGAAAUUCGUAGAUAUUCGCAAGAACACCAGUGGCGAAGGCGGCUCACUGGCCCGGUACUGACGCUGAGGUGCGAAAGCGUGGGGAGCAAACAGG